CCGGUUUCCUCCCACAAUCCAAAGAUGUGCAGGUCAGGGUGUUGAUCUGCUAAAUGGAUGUUCAUACUACUCACUGGCCUGUCACAGAUUCUCCUUCAGCUGUCCGAUAACAGAUAACAGAUUGACCACAGAUGAACUCAAGGAUCUGCAGGGAGGAUUUGUGACCUGGUCCUGUAUCUCACUUGACCAUGUCUUGCCAACAUCCCA